UCCUCACCCCGGCUCGGCCCUUUGCCCCUGUUUGCCGCAGUCUGCGCAUCCGCACCCGCUCGCCCCGGGAAGAGCCUCUGGAUGGUUCCCACCUGUUACAGAGCUUGGAGCACCUUCCCGUCUGGGUGAACGCGCGUCUCCGUCUCCCUGGGGCGGCUGCAGCCCGCGCUCCGGUGCGGCGACCUCCCCCGAGGGGAGACGAGGGACCGCUUCCCCGGGCGGGGCGGGCUCUGGACCACCCGGCGGUUCUGCUCGUUGAUGCGUCCUCGACCACCAACAAGCACCAGUUACUGUGGCUGCAAUUAAGGCAUUUCCCAGCAAUCCUGUUCUUCUCUGUCAAAUUGUUUUAGUUAAUCUGCUUCCAUUGCCCUUACGUACAAAUUUUCGAAUUUGCUUGUCUAUGUCUAUAAAAAAAAAAAAUCUUGCUGGAAUUUUUCCUAAUGAUGUGUUAAAUCCGUAGAUCGUGUGGGGGAGAACUGACAUCUUUAGUACGUUGAACCUUCAAAUUCAUGAAGAUGAUUUCCUGGGAUUUUCCACAUGGAUAACCGUGUUGUUUCCAGAUAAGGACAGUUUUAUUCUUCUUCUCCAAUCAAUAUGCCUUUUAUUUCCUUUUCUUGCCCUAUUGCACUGGCUGGAAUUCUAAUACUGGUGAAUAAGAGUGGUGAGAGAGGGCAACCCAGCCUUGGUCCCAAUCUCAGGGGGAAGCAUUCAGUCUGUUACAUGAGCACUGAAAAAGAUGUCGUAUGACCAAUGAGAAAUCCAGUUGUUCCGUAGGUAACACAUCUUAUUCCUCUGGCUGCUUUACGACUUUUUCCUUGUUCUUGGUUUUCAGCAACUUGAUUAUGAAAUGUCUUAGUGUGGAUUUCUUUCCCAGUUUUCCCAGGACAGGAUGUGCUCUGCUUUUCGGAAUUAUAAGUUUAUGUCUUUCACCAAACGUGAGAUGUUUUCAGACAUAAUGUCCUUAAAUAUUUUUCAGCCCCACGGCCUUUCUCCUCUCUUUCUGGAACCCCAAUGUCAUAGGCAUUGCCCUGUUCUUGUUGUCCUGUGGGUCUCUGACACUCUGCUCAUUUUUUAAGGUCUUUUCUCUCUCUGUUGUGCAGAUGAAUUUCUGUUGCUGAAUUUUCGAGUUCGUUGAUUUCCUCUUGUCAUCUCCAUGCUGGUAUUGAAUCCAUCUUGUGAAGGUUUUUUUCCCCCCUUUCAGUGAUUCUAUUUUUCAGUUCCAACAUCUCCAUUUGCUUUUUCUUUCAGUCUUUCUCUCUGCUCAGUCAUUCUAUUUUAAUAUUUGUGUUAAGACUAUUUGCAAUUUCUGGCAUCUGUAUAGUAAUCAUUGCUUUAAAGUCCCCGUCGGAUCAUUCAGACAUUGGGGUUAUCACAUCACUGGUGUCUAUUACCAUUUCCCACAUGAGUUGAGAUUUUCAUGUUUUUCGUUUGCAAGUGAUUUUAGUUUCUAUCCUGGACAUUUUGAGUGUUAUGUCAUGAGACUCUGGAUCUUCCCCCUGCCCCAUGGAGAAUGUCAUUGCCUUGCUCUGGUCCUCUGUGGGCUGUGGUUCCAAAGUAAGUUUAGUAUUCAAAGUCGUUGCUGUUCUUUUUAUUUUUUUUCCAGGAUUUUAUUUAUUUGACAGAGAGAGCACAAGCAGGGGGACAGGGGGAGCAGCAGAAGGAAAGGGAGAAGUAGGCUCCCUGCUGAGCAGGGAGCCCGAUGAUGCGGGACUCGAUCCCAGGACCCCAGGAUCAUGACCUGAGCCAUGAAGGCAGACGCCUCACCGACUAAGCCCCCCAGGCACCCCAAGUCUUUGCUGUUCUAGUCAGGGCCAUCCUGUGGUCACUCUGAGACUUGAGUGGUCUACCUACUAGAUCAAUUCUCCAAAUAUUUGAUAUGCUAAUGGGGAUGACAUCCACACGCACUAGAUCAGAGGUGAGCCCAGGAGUCUGAAACUUAAUCUCCUGGGCUCCUUGCCCUAAGCUUCUUUCUCUCCACUAUUUUCCUGGUACUUUCCAGUUACCUGAGGUUCCCCUUCCUCCACCAGAAACUGUCCACUUCUGCAUUUGUGACGCAUUUGGGGCCAAAUGGCAGGAGGACGUAGAGGGAAAAAGGCUGCUGAUGAGCAAGUUCAUUAAAGUUCCGGGAUCUGAGAUCAGUAUACAAAAACCAACUGUGUUUCUUUAUGUGAGCAAUGCUCAUUCCAACAAUAAAAUUGAGAAAACAGUUCCAUUCAUAACAGCACUGAAAAGAAUAAAACAAUUCAGAGGA